rnacentral:rRNA from 1 species
CUCCUACGGGAGGCAGCAGUGGGGAAUAUUGGACAAUGGGCGAAAGCCUGAUCCAGCCAUGCCGCGUGUGUGAAGAAGGUCUUCGGAUUGUAAAGCACUUUAAGUUGGGAGGAAGGGCAGUAAGUUAAUACCUUGCUGUUUUGACGUUACCGACAGAAUAAGCACCGGCUAACUUCGUGCCAGCAGCCGCGGUAAUACGAAGGGUGCAAGCGUUAAUCGGAAUUACUGGGCGUAAAGCGCGCGUAGGUGGUUCGUUAAGUUGGAUGUGAAAGCCCCGGGCUCAACCUGGGAACUGCAUCCAAAACUGGCGAGCUAGAGUAUGGCAGAGGGUGGUGGAAUUUCCUGUGUAGCGGUGAAAUGCGUAGAUAUAGGAAGGAACACCAGUGGCGAAGGCGACCACCUGGGCUAAUACUGACACUGAGGUGCGAAAGCGUG